AAUAAGCCCCGGCCAAUUACGUGCCAGCAGCCGCGGCAAUACGUAUGGGGCGAGCGUUGUUCGGAGUUAUUGGGCGUAAAGGGCGUGUAGGCGACCCGACAAGUCUGGUGUGAAAUCGCAGGGCUCAACCCUGCGGGUGCGCUGGAAACUGUGGGGCUGGAGUCCCGGGGGGGAAGCUGGAAUUCCUGGUGUAGGAGUGAAAUCUGUAGAGAUCAGGAAGAACACCGGUGGCGAAGGCGAGCUUCUAUUCGAGGACUGACGCUGAGGCGCGAAAGCGUGGGGAGCAAACAGGAUUAGAUACCCUGGUAGUCCACGCUGUAAACGAUGUGCACUAGGCGUGGGGCACGUCGGUGCUCUGUGCCGUAGCUAACGCG
rnacentral:rRNA from 1 species